rnacentral:rRNA from 1 species
AGUGAACGCUGGCGGUAGGCCUAACACAUGCAAGUCGAACGGCAGCACAGUAAGAGCUUGCUCUUACGGGUGGCGAGUGGCGGACGGGUGAGGAAUACAUCGGAAUCUACUUUUUCGUGGGGGAUAACGUAGGGAAACUUACGCUAAUACCUCAUACGACCUACGGGUGAAAGCAGAGGAUCUUCGGACCUUGCGCGAUUGAAUGAGCCGAGAUCGUAUUAGUUAGUUGGGGGGGUAAAGGCCCACCAAGGCGACGAUCCGUAGCUGGUGUGAGAGGAGAAUCCGCCACACUGGAACUGAGACACGGUCCAGACUCCUACGGGGGGCAGCAGUGGGGAAUAUUGGCCAAUGGGCGAAAGCCUGAUCCAGCCAUACCGCGUGGGUGAAGAAGUCCUUCGGGUUGUAAAGCCCUUUUGUUGGGAAAGAAAAGCAGCAGGUUAAUACCCCGCUGUUCUGACGGUACCCAAAGAAUAAGCACCGGCUAACUUCGUG